rnacentral:rRNA from 1 species
GAUGAACGCUAGCGGCAGGCUUAAUACAUGCAAGUCGAGGGGCAACAGGGGUAGCAAUACCUGCUGGCGACCGGCAAACGGGUGCGGAACACGUACAGAACCUUCCUUUAAGCGGGGGAUAGCCCAUAGAAAUGUGGAUUAAUACCCCAUAGUAAUAUUAGUUGGCAUCAAUUGAUAUUUAAAGAUUUAUCACUUAAAGAUGGCUGUGCGGCUGAUUAGGUAGUUGGUGUGGGUAACGGCCCACCAAGCCAGCGAUCAGUAACUGGUGUGAGAGCACGACCAGUCACACGGGCACUGAGACACGGGCCCGACUCCUACGGGAGGCAGCAGUAAGGAAUAUUGGUCAAUGGACGCAAGUCUAGAACCAGCCAUGCCGCGUGAAGGAU